GUGGUAUAAUAGGGCCGACAGAGAAAUCAGGGUUCAUUUAUCCUUUUGUUGGUGUGGCUCUUUCUGUUGUUUCCUUUUUGGUUGAUGCUCAGCUGCAUUCAAAUACUAAUGUUCAACAGGAGGCAAAAACAUAAAUCUGGUGGUUAGAGGCAAUUAGUGAGGUAUUCAUCCCAUUCAGCCAGGGGCGUCAUCACCUGUAUGUGUCAGUCGUCCCUAACCAUUGAUCGACUAAGGUGGACAGUGAGUCGAGUCUUUGAGUCUAUCCAGUUAUAGACUUGAGGUUUCACU